rnacentral:rRNA from 1 species
UACGAAGGGGGCUAGCGUUGCUCGGAAUCACUGGGCGUAAAGGGUGCGUAGGCGGGUCUUUAAGUCAGGGGUGAAAUCCUGGAGCUCAACUCCAGAACUGCCUUUGAUACUGAAGAUCUUGAGUGCGGGAGAGGUGAGUGGAACUGCGAGUGUAGAGGUGAAAUUCGUAGAUAUUGCUCGGAAGGCCAGAGCCGAAGGGGCCCUACUGGUGCGUAACUGACACUGAGGCACGAAAGCGUGGGGAGCAAACAGG